rnacentral:snRNA from 1 species
GACAUCUCUGAGAGGGGUCAGAG